CCAGACUCCUACGGGAGGCAGCAGUGAGGAAUAUUGGUCAAUGGGCGCGAGCCUGAACCAGCCAAGUCGCGUGAGGGAGGACGGCCCUACGGGUUGUAAACCUCUUUUGCCGGGGAGCAACGGGCGUCACGUGUGGCGUCACUGAGAGUACCCGGAGAAAAAGCAUCGGCUAACUCCGUGCCAGCAGCCGCGGUAAUACGGAGGAUGCGAGCGUUAUCCGGAUUUAUUGGGUUUAAAGGGUGCGUAGGCGGAUCGUUAAGUCAGUGGUCAAAUUGAGGGGCUCAACCCCUGCCCGCCAUCGAAACUGGCGAUCUUGAGUGGAAGAGAAGUAUGCGGAAUGCGUGGUGUAGCGGUGAAAUGCAUAGAUAUCACGCAGAACUCCGAUUGCGAAGGCAGCGCACCGGCGCCCUACUGACGCUCAGGCACGAAAGCGUGGGUAUCGAACAGGAUUAGAUACCCCCGUAAA
rnacentral:rRNA from 1 species